GACGAACGCUGGCGGCGUGCUUAACACAUGCAAGUCGAGCGAGGGGCUUCGGCUCCUAGCGGCGAACGGGUGAGUAACACGUGGGCAACCUGCCCCGAGCUCUGGAAUAACUUCGGGAAACCGGGGCUAAUGCCGGAUAUGACACUACCGGGCAUCUGGUGGUGUGGAAAGAUUUACCGGCUCGGGAUGGGCCCGCGGCCUAUCAGCUUGUUGGUGGGGUGAUGGCCUACCAAGGCGACGACGGGUAGCCGGCCUGAGAGGGCGACCGGCCACACUGGGACUGAGACACGGCCCAGACUCCUACGGGAGGCAGCAGUGGGGAAUAUUGCGCAAUGGGCGAAAGCCUGACGCAGCGACGCCGCGUGGGGGAUGACGGCC
rnacentral:rRNA from 1 species